UACAGAGGUCUCAAGCGUUGUUCGGAUUCAUUGGGCGUAAAGGGUGCGUAGGCGGCGGCGUAAGUCGGGUGUGAAAUCCCAGGGCUCAACCCUGGAACUGCACUCGAUACUGCGUCGCUGGAGGACUGGAGAGGAGACUGGAAUUCACGGUGUAGCAGUGAAAUGCGUAGAUAUCGUGAGGAAGGCCAGUGGCGAAGGCGAGUCUCUGGACAGUUCCUGACGCUGAGGCAC
rnacentral:rRNA from 1 species